UACGUAGGGGACAAGCGUUAUCCGGAAUCACUGGGUUUAAAGGGUCCGCAGGCGGUCAAUUAAGUCAGAGGUGAAAUCCCAUAGCUUAACUAUGGAACUGCCUUUGAUACUGGUUGACUUGAGUUAUACGGAAGUGGAUAGAAUGUGUAGUGUAGCGGUGAAAUGCAUAGAUAUUACACAGAAUACCGAUUGCGAAGGCAGUCCACUACGUAUAUACUGACGCUCAUGGACGAAAGCGUGGGGAGCGAACAGG
rnacentral:rRNA from 1 species